GAUGAGGUGGCCGAGUUUUAGGCAAUAAACUGUAAAUUUAUUUACGAAAUUUAUUUUCUCUCAUCA
rnacentral:tRNA from 1 species